rnacentral:ncRNA from 1 species
AACGAAAAAGCCAUACCCUUUGUGAGAGGGGGGCGGAAAGCGGCGGAUCUUUAAGCAAAGAUGGCCGAGCUACCGAAA